CNGNNGUCGACGAUUCCUACGGGAGGCAGCAGUGGGGAAUAUUGCACAAUGGGCGAAAGCCUGAUGCAGCAACGCCGCGUGAGUGAAGAAGGUCUUCGGAUUGUAAAGCUCUGUCUUUUGGGACGAAAAUGACGGUACCAAAGGAGGAAGCCACGGCUAACUACGUGCCAGCAGCCGCGGUAAUACGUAGGUGGCAAGCGUUGUCCGGAUUUACUGGGCGUAAAGGAUGUGUAGGCGGAUAUUUAAGUGAGAUGUGAAAUCCCCGUGCUCAACAUGGGGGCUGCAUUUCAAACUGGGUAUCUAGAGUGCAGGAGAGGAAAGCGGAAUUCCUAGUGUAGCGGUGAAAUGCGUAGAGAUUAGGAAGAACAUCAGUGGCGAAGGCGGCUUUCUGGACUGUAACUGACGCUGAGGCAUGAAAGCGUGGGGAGCAAACAGGAUUAGAUACCCUGGUAGUCCACGCCGUAAACGAUGAGUACUAGGUGUAGGAGGUAUCGACUCCUUCUGUGCCGCAGUAAACACAAUAAGUACUCCGCCUGGGAAGUACGGUCGCAAGAUUAAAACUCAAAUGAAUUGACGG
rnacentral:rRNA from 1 species